GACGAACGCUGGCGGCGUGCUUAACACAUGCAAGUCGAACGGAAAUGCCCUGCUUUCUUGGUUGGUUAGAGGGGCGAACGGGUGAGUAACACGUGAGCAACCUACCCUAGAUUCCUGGAUAACUUCAGGAAAGGGGGGCUAAUACCGGAUAUGCUCACCGGCCGGCAUGUGGUGGUUGGGAAAGGUUGUAUGUUUGGGAUGGGAUGGGCGCGUGUCAUCUUGUUGGUGGGGUGGUGGCCUACCAUGGCAAUGACGUGUCGCCGCCCUGAGAGGGUGGACGGCCACGUUGGGACUGAGACACGGCCCAGACUCCUACGGGCGGCAGCAGUUGGGGAUGUUGGGCAAGGGGAGCAAGCCUGACGGAGCGACGCCGCGUGAGGGAAGACGGCCUUCGGGUUGUAAAGCUCUUGUGUUAGGGAACAAGGCACUGUGUGACGGGUCGUGGUGAGGGUACCUGGAUAAGAAGCCCCGGCUAACUACGUG
rnacentral:rRNA from 1 species